UACAGAGGUCCCGAGCGUUGUUCGGAUUCAUUGGGCGUAAAGGGUGCGUAGGCGGCGGGGCAAGUCUGAUGUGAAAUCCCGGGGCUCAACCCCGGAACUGCAUUGGAUACUGCCUUGCUAGAGUACUGGAGAGGGAACUGGAAUUUACGGUGUAGCAGUGAAAUGCGUAGAGAUCGUAAGGAAGGCCAGUGGCGAAGGCGAGUUCCUGGACAGUUACUGACGUGAGGCACGAAGGCCAGGGGGAGCAAAACGGG
rnacentral:rRNA from 1 species